rnacentral:tmRNA from 1 species
GGGGCUGACCGGAAUUGACAGCAUCGUUCUUUGUAAGCAAGCAUGCUGAGCAUUGGGAGCCAAGCUCACUAAUCUUUAACUCCCGACGCCAUAGUUGGCAACUCUAAUUACGCAAUGGCUGCCUAAUCCUCAAUGUAGGAUUCAGCUGUUUGUUCCCUGCGGAUUGCGCCUGACAAGCUGCAACGGAACAUCAUAAAGUCGGGCUGGUGGUGACCUGGUUUCUUGUUCACUGCGAGAUAUAAAUAGAAAAUAAGAGAGAUGAUUGGCUUUCUUUCGCCUGUCGCUCUUCGAAAAUAAACGAAAGAAUAAGCAUGUAGAAAACUUAUGAUGGCCUUGUCUGGACGAGGGUUCAAAUCCCUCCAGCUCCACUU